UACGAAGGGGGCUAGCGUUGCUCGGAAUCACUGGGCGUAAAGCGCACGUAGGCGGCUUGUUAAGUCAGGGGUGAAAUCCUGGAGCUCAACUCCAGAACUGCCUUCGAUACUGGCGAGCUCGAGUUCGGGAGAGGUGAGUGGAACUGCGAGUGUAGAGGUGAAAUUCGUAGAUAUUCGCAAGAACACCAGUGGCGAAGGUGGCUCACUGGCCCGAUACUGACGCUGAGGUGCGAAAGCGUGGGGAGCAAACAGG
rnacentral:rRNA from 1 species